GAGAGGGAGGCCGAGGGAGGCCUGUUAGGAGAUGUCCACAGCCUAGGUGGCGCUGCCCAGGUGGCACUAGUGGUAAAGAAUCCACCUGCCAAUGCAGGAGAGGCAAGAGAUGCAGGUUCUAUCCCUCGGUCAGGAAGAUCCCCUGGAGUGGGAAGUGGCACCCCAUCUGGUAUCCUUGCCUGGAGAAUUGCAUGCAAGAGGAGCCUGGCAGGCUACAGUCCAUGGGGCUGCAAAGAGUCAGACACAACUAAGCAUCACACACAGCUCAGUUGAGAGCUUCAGACACAUGCAAUUUAUUUUCCUUCAUCUUGAAGCUUGCCUACCUACUCUGGGGCAGUACCUUCAUGGAUAUACCACUUGGAAUAAACUUGUUUGA
rnacentral:lncRNA from 1 species